rnacentral:rRNA from 1 species
UCCUACGGGCGGCUGCAGUCGGGAAUAUUGGGCAAUGGGGGAAACCCUGACCCAGCAACGCCGCGUGAAGGAAGAAGGUCUUCGGAUUGUAAACUUCUUUGAUCAGGGACGAAACAAAUGACGGUACCUGAAGAACAAGCCACGGCUAACUACGUGCCAGCAGCCGCGGUAAUACGUAGGUGGCAAGCGUUAUCCGGAUUUACUGGGUGUAAAGGGCGUGUAGGCGGGUUUGCAAGUUGGAUGUGAAAUCCUCAGGCUUAACCUGAGAGGGUCAUCCAAAACUGCAGAUCUUGAGUACUGGAGAGGAUAGUGGAAUUCCUAGUGUAGCGGUAAAAUGCGUAGAUAUUAGGAGGAACACCAGUGGCGAAGGCGACUAUCUGGACAGUAACUGACGCUGAGGCGCGAAAGCGUGGGGAGCAAACAGGAUUAGAUACCCUGGUAGUC